GGCCCGGCGGGUGGCGCUGGAGACGAUGAUGCUGUCCGGCGAACCGUGGUGGCGGAUCCAUCUGCUGGAGACCGGCCGGUUCGUCUCCGGCGCCGUGCUG
rnacentral:tRNA from 2 species